rnacentral:rRNA from 1 species
AGCAGCCGCGGUAAUUCCAGCUCCAAUAGCGUAUAUUAAAGUUGUUGCAGUUAAAAAGCUCGUAGUUGAAUUUCGGGAUCAAUAUGCUGGUCGCGCCUUUGGUACGUACUGGUAUUAUUGGUUUCUCCUUUCUGAUGAAUCACGAUGUCAUUAAUUUGGUGUCAUGGGGAAUCAGGACUGUUACUUUGAAAAAAUUAGAGUGUUUAAAGCAGGCUUACGCUUGAAUACAUUAGCAUGGAAUAAUGAAAUAGGACGUUUAAUCUAUUUUGUGGUUUCUAGGAUUGACGUAAUGAUUAAUAGGGAUAGUUGGGGGCAUUAGUAUUCAAUUGUCAGAGGUGAAAUUCUUGGAUUUAUUGAAGACUAACUACUGCGAAAGCAUUUGCCAAGGAUGUUUUCAUUAAUCAAGACGAAAGUUAGGGGAUCGAAGACGAUCAGAUACCGUCGUAGUCUUAACCAUAAACUAUGCCGACUAGGGAUCGGAUGAUGUUAAUUUAUGACUCAUUCGGC